rnacentral:rRNA from 1 species
UGGGGAAUAUUGCACAAUGGGGGAAACCCUGAUGCAGCGACGCCGCGUGAAGGAAGAAGUAUCUCGGUAUGUAAACUUCUAUCAGCAGGGAAGAAAGUGACGGUACCUGACUAAGAAGCCCCGGCUAACUACGUGCCAGCAGCCGCGGUAAUACGUAGGGGGCAAGCGUUAUCCGGAUUUACUGGGUGUAAAGGGAGCGUAGACGGAAUGGCAAGUCUGAUGUGAAAGGCGGGGGCUCAACCCCUGGACUGCAUUGGAAACUGCCAGUCUUGAGUACCGGAGGGGUAAGCGGAAUUCCUAGUGUAGCGGUGAAAUGCGUAGAUAUUAGGAGGAACACCAGUGGCGAAGGCGGCUUACUGAACGGUAACUGACGUUGAGGCUCGAAAGCGUGGGGAGCAAACA